CGCAAAAGCAGAACAGAAACACAAAAACUGAAAAAAGAGAGAACUGAGAAGAGAAACGGCAACGCGCGCGACAGACCUCCUCCACUCUCCAGCCGGCGACAGAGCUCUCUCCACUAGUCUUCGCCAUCAGUGUAUUCAAAUUUGAAAUGGAAAGAGAAACAUUGGAGGAUGAAAUGAGAUUGGAAAAUGAAGGGAUUUCAGACACACCUCCACAACCACAAGAUUUACAAUCACAAAGGCCAAAGAGGAAAGAAACGUGUAAAAGAUCAAGAAUCUGGGACCACUUCAAUUCUUACACUGAUAGCGAGGGAAAGCCUAGAGCUAAAUGUAAGUAUUGCGAACGAAAUUAUGAUGCUGAUCCAUCUAGAAUGGUACUUCUAUGAUGAAUAAUUACCUGAAAGCAUGCAAAAAAAACCCACAUAACGCUGUUGUUGCAUCAAAUCAAACAAUAACUAAUUUUUGUCAGAGUAUAACUGGGGAUGCUAAUGAUGGAGAAGCUUCUUCUCAUUCGAAAUUUGAUCAAGAAGCUAUUAGGCAAGUCUUAGCUCGCAUGGUCAUCAUCGAUGAAUUGCCAUUUAAAUUUGUGGAAAAUAAGGGAUUUAGGCAAUUUAUAUAUCUUGCACUUCCACAGUUUAUUGUCCCGUCUAGAAUCACUAUAACCAGAAAUUGUUAUAAGUUAUUCUUCGAUGAAAAAAGAAAGACUGAUGAAUUAUUUUAAGUCUUCCGGACAAAGAGUUUUCUUAACAACGGACACAUGGAUUUCUGAUCAGAAACUCACCUAUAUGUGUUUGACUGCCAUUACAUUGAUUUUGACUAGAAAAUGCAUAAGGUCAUUCUUAAUUUCAUUUCAUGUCCUACUCAUAGAGGUGAUGAUGUGGGUUUGUUGAUUGGAAAAUAUAUGUUGGAUUGGGGUAUUGAUAAAGUUUUUGCUGUAACUGUGGACAAUGCUUCUUCUAACGAUACAACUGCUACUUAUUUGAGAAGAAGGUUUGUUAAUUGGGGGACUGCCAUACUUGAUGGAAAAUAUUUGCAUAUGAGAUGUGUGACUCAUAUUAUUAAUCUUAUUUUCAAGAAUGGUUUGAAAGAAUUGAAUGAUUCCAUUGAGCAUAUACGAAAAGUUGUUAGGUAUGUUCGUUAAUCACUAGCUAGGACAAAAAAAAUUUAAUGAUUAUACUGUUGAGGAGAAGGUUCAAAGCAAAACAGUAUUGUGCUUAGAUGUACCUACAAGAUGGAAUUCAGUUUAUACGAUACUAGAUACUACUUUAAUUUUUCAAGGUGCGUUUGAUAGAUAUGAAACAUAUGAUGCUGAUUUUCGUAAUGAUUUCAUGCUUGGUGGGUGUUAUGGUAAGAUUAGAUUGCCUUUGAAAGAUGAUUGGGUUAUGAUUUGCAAAAUUUGUGAAGGUGUUGUGAUUCUUUUAUGAUCUAACCAAUUGAGUUUUUGGGUCUUUAUGUGUGACAUCUAAUACUUUUUUGGAUGAAAGAAGUGAUGUUGAUGAUUUGUUGAACGAGUGGCUUAUGAGUGAUGAUGGUUAUUUGGUAGACAUGGCACGACAAAUGAAGUACAAACUUGAUAAGUACUGGGGAAAUGUUGAAAAGAUGAACAUGAUGUUAUAUGUUGCUUUUAUACUUGAUCCUCCUUAUAAGUUCUCCUAUCUCCAAUAUUUUUUAAGAAUAUGCAUGGGCCAAAAGUAGGAGAGAAAAUGGAAAUUUGGCCAAAUCUGCUUUGUAUGAUGUAUUUGAAGAAUACAAAAAAAAUAUAUUCUUCUACAACAUCACGCCCUUCUUCUACCACUUCAUCUGGUGAAUUAGGUCAGACUGAGGAUCAAGAUAUGAUAGUGAACAAAGGGCUAUUAGAGACAAGAGAAAGAAAUGAAAAUAAAUGAUGUUUGAGAUUGGAGGUAGGCAUAGGUUAGAAUUGAAUAGUUAUUUGAACGAGGAAAAAUUAAGACAGAUGAAUCUCCGAGCUUUAACAUCACUGAAUGGUGGAAAUUGCAUACGUCAAUAUUUCCCAUCUUAGCAAAAAUUGGCACGAGAUGUGUUAGCUAUGCCUAUAUCUAUCGUUGCAUCGGAGUCCGCUUUCAGUACCGGAGGUCGCAUAAUUGAUGAUUUUAGAGCUUUAUUGACUCCAAAGAUGGCACAAUCUCUAAUUUGUUGGCAAGAUUGGCUACGUCGCGCUCCAUUCAAACCAAUUGAAGAAGACUAUGACGCCAUUGACAAAAUUGUAAAAGAUGCUGGAUCAAAUAUUAACCCAGAGUCAACCAUCAUCGGGUUGUGAUGUUGUGUAUCGCGUAAGUCGUGCAAGUUGAAUAGUUAAUGAUCGAUGACUCAAUACUCAAUUGCGGAACUUUAAUUCGCUAUAUGUACUAUUUGGAAUCUUGGAUACUGAAUAUUGUAGUGGUGCACUUGUGACUUGUAAUAUUAAAUUUGAAUUU